CUCAGCUCUGCAGUCAGUCAGUCUGGGCUGGGAUGACACCAAGGAGACACCACUGCACAAGGACAGCUCUCACCUCCUCUGGUGGAAUCAACAGUUUGAAGGACGGACUUUGCCAUGAAGAAGUGUGUGGUCUCUCUGAUUAAGUGGUUCUCAACAGUUCAACAGUUCUUUGAGAAAAUUGUGAAAUGUUUAGGACCACUUGACCAGUCAGACAAAUGCUGUCAGCUUGGGGAAAAUACUACCUUUGAAUGGAUCUUUAAAAAACAUCAAACAUCAAACAUCUUUCAAGGCAGGACUUUCAGAAUGAUUUGAAUUCAGUUGUGUGAUUUUCUCUCCUUUUUUUUGUUUCCUUAAUGUCUCUGUCUUCUACUCCCAUUGUGCCCCCUUGUGUUGCAAAGCCAACUGCAGUCCAGGAACUGCAGGGGGCUGUAAAAAAUCAUCAGGCUUCAGUAAUUUCAUUCUGCUGGCACACAUACAGAUUUUUAACAGCUCUGCUGUUGCAGUAAUACCCUGUCUUUUUUUUUUUUUUUUUUUUUGCUACUUUACUGUUGCCAAUAUUCAGAAGUACUGAUUAAAAUAAGUCAAUAAAGAAUAAUUUGUC